GGCCUGGUGGUGUAGUGGGAACACGUCCUUAGUCUGUAAUGAAGAUUGAAGUGUGUAAAAGGAAAAGUCCCGUUCGAUUCGGGGCCGGGCUA